rnacentral:misc_RNA from 2 species
CAACCCUCAAGCUCUGCUUGGUAUUGGGCCUCGUCUAUUAUUGACGGGCCUUAAAAUCAGUGGCGGUGCCAUUAGGCUCUAAGCGUAGUAAUUUUUCUCGCUAUGGACGUCUAUUGGAUACUUGCCAAUAACCCCAAAUUUUAAA